rnacentral:lncRNA from 1 species
UACAGCACAUGCGCGGAGUCCAGCCCCAGGCUGGCGGGCAACUGUCUCACCUGCUCACCUCGUGGCUUCGGCGGGCAGCUCCGGGACAUCGGGUCUUGGCGUCUUCACUCCCAGGAGAGCAGAUCCACCGCAUCAAGGGGAGCUGUGAAAACGGAAGGCAGAGCUGAGGAUGCCUGUGCCUGGGCUCUCCUACCGGGUGUCCGUCUCUGCGAGGGGGGAAGACGGGGGAGAGCGGCGCUGCCCCCACCACCUCCCGCGGGAAGGGGACGCUGCAGGUGCCCAUCACCCAGUGAGGGUGGCAUUAGCCUGGUGGCACCACCGAGCCGCCCCGCGACCCGCUGCUCCUGCCCCUGGCGAUCUGACGUUUCAGUUUCUUUCACUUAAAUUUCAAGGGCAGCAGUCACGUGUGGUUACCAGAGCGGACAGCCCAGAAGUAGAGCAUGUCAACCUCACAGACAGUUCCACGGGGCUGUUCUAGAGGGAGCAGGUCCGGGUCUGGGGACCAGGGAGACCCCGUGGAGAGGGGGGGACUCAGGAGCCUGCUCUGUCCAGCUCAGGCCUCUGACCCAUGUCCUCCUGAUGCCUCAUUCCUAGGAGACACAUGGACGCAUUCACAGGAUGGAAACAAUCCCGGUGAGUGAUGGGCACAGAGAAGCAGGACCUGGCCUGUGCCUUCUGGGCAAAGGGGGAAUGGCUUGGGUAUGGGUCAUAUUCCAGCUCUGCCCACGCCCUGUGGACAGAGGACUUCAGCCCCCAAACCCCAGUUUUGUAAGCGGGGAAAUGACUCCUGGGCCUUGGGACUGUUAGGCACCUGAGAGAUUUGUAGGUAGGUGUGAACAUGACAAGCAGCCAGUGUGUGGUGGUAUGCCGCAGGUGCUGGAUAAAUGCACGCUGCUGCUUAUCCAGUUAUGUCUUCCCUGCUCCCCCAGGCCCGUGGACAGAGCAUGUUUACAUUCUCAUCGGGGUCUCUGCAGCCUUUCUCCUUUGUCUCCUCCUCUUGGUCCUCCUCCUCCUCCAGCGCUGGCAUCAGAGGAAACGGGGGCCCCCCAGAAGCAAAGGCAAGGAGCCAGAGCCCCAGGAGAGGCUCAGCCCAGCUGUUGACGUCCUAGAUGGGACACCAGGUACAGACAAGGGUGGGACAGGUCUGGGAGGGGAAGGGGGCAUUCACUGCCAUCCAGGAAGCCAUGUUCA